GUGUGUUUGUACAGUGUUAAUAAAGUUGUGUUUGUACAGUGUUAAUAAAGUUGUGUGUUUGUACAGUGUUAAUAAAGUUGUGUUUGUACAGUGAUAAUAAAGUUGUGUGUUUGUACAGUGUUAAUAAAGUUGUGUUUGUACAGUGUUAAUAAAGUUGUGUUUGUACAGUGUUAAUAAAGUUGUGUUUGUACAGUGAUAAUAAAGUUGUGUGUUUGUACAGUGUUAAUAAAGUUGUGUUUGUACAGUGUUAAUAAAGUUGUGUGUUUGUACAGUGAUAAUAAAGUUUUGUGUUUGUACAGUGUUAAUAAAGUUGUGUGUUUGUACAGUGUUAAUAAAGUUGUGUGUUUGUACAGUGUUAAUAAAGUUGUGUUUGUACAGUGUUAAUAAAGUUGUGUGUUUGUACAGUGUUAAUAAAGUUUUGUGUUUGUACAGUGUUAAUAAAGUUGUGUGUUUGUAUAGUGUUAAUAAAGUUGUGUGUUUGUACAGUGUUAAUAAAGUUGUGUGUUUGUAUAGUGUUAAUAAAGUUGUGUUU